rnacentral:lncRNA from 12 species
CGCCGUGAGCUCCUGCCCCGCCUGGGCGGAGAGGGCAGAGUCUGGGAGCCCCUAGGCCUGCAGGACCCAGGUCGACUUGGAGACGCUGCCCACCUGCUAUUGGGAGGAUCCUCUUCUCUGCGGAAGGACACCCGUGGGCGUGCAAGAGACAGCACCCUCCUCGGCUCUGGAAAGUCAGCGGGAGCCCCGAGUCCUCCCGAGGCGGGUCACUCUGCCCCUGGACCCUGUAACCAUGCUCCUAAACUACUCAGAAUCCUUGGCAGGGCCAUGCCAGUCCCCCUUGAGAGCAGCUGAGAGCACUUCCUGGAAGACAGAUUGGACAGAGUCCCUUUCCGGUGGUGACGACCUCCCCACGAGAAUAUGCCCCUUGCAAAGGAUCUCCUGCACUCAUCCCCGUAAGAGGAUAAGAGGAAGCACAAGAAGAAGCACCUAGUGCAGAGCCUCAACUCCUACUUCAUGGAUGUGAAGUGCCUGGGAUGCUACAAAAUCACCACCAUCUUCAGCUGCACACAGACGGUAAUUCUGUGUGUCGACUGCCCCACUGGCCUCUGCCAGCCGAUGGGAGGAAAAGCAAGGCUUACAGAAGGAUGCUCCUUCAGGCGGAAGCAGCACUAAAAGCUCCCUGAAUCAAGAUGAGUGGGACACUAUCCCAAUAAACAGAUUUUGGAUACUACUACUACUACUAAU